GAAAACCUUCAGCUGUGAUGAGUGUGGGAAGGAUUUUACCCGGACUGGACACUUAAAAAGACACCAACUCAUCCACAGUGGAGUUAAACCUUACAGCUGUGAGUUGUGUGGAAAGUCUUUUACCAAGGCUGGAGGUUUAAAAAACCACCAAUUCAUCCACAGUGGAGUUAAACCAUACAGCUGUGAUUUGUGUGGAAAGUCUUUUACCCUGGCUGGAGGUUUAAAAAAACACCAACUCAUCCACAGUGGAUUUAAAGCACACAGCUGUGAGUUGUGUGGUAAGGCUUUUGCUCAAAAUGGCGACUUACAGAGGCAUCUAGUUACCCACUCUGGAAUUAAGGCGUACAGCUGCGACUUUUGUGGAAAAAGUUUCAGCAACAAACAGUACCGAAAUAUUCACCUACGGAUUCACACUGGAAAUGAUGUUUACUGCUGUGAUCAGUGUGGGAAACUGUUUGCAACAGGUGCACAGUUACAACAACACAUGUUUAGCCACUCUAAGGAGAGAGCUUAUAAAUGUGACCUGUGUGAGAAGACUUUUAAAUCUCCACAUCAGCUGAAUAUCCACCAAUAGAUCCACACCAGAAAGUAACUCUACAAGUGCAGUUACUAAGUGGAGCAAAGCACAUGGAUCCAUUUCUCAACCCUGUCGUCACUGUGGUGGUGGGAAAGAGUUUCUCUGUGACCUUUGUGGAAAAACUUCAAUCAUCAACAGGACCGAAAACCACAUCAACGUAGACACACUGGAGACAAAAGGAACUACUGCAAAGAAUGUGGGAGAGGCUUCCACACACCAAGUACAUUAAAAAUACAUGAACUCUUCCACAGUGGGGUCAAAAAGCACAUCUGUGACCAGUGUGGGUCAUCCUUCACCACAGCACAUGAGCUUAAUGAAAAAGCAUAAGCGAAUCCACACAGGAGAGACACCAUACAAGUGCAGACACUAUGACAAAAGCUUCUCACAAUCAGGACAUCAUAACAAACAUGAACGUACACACAUGGAAGUGAA